GCUCUUCCUCCCGAACCGGGCCAGCCCCGCUCGUUCUCAGUACCGGGCCAGCCCCGCUCGUUCUCACUCCCGGUUCCGGUCCCGGUUCCAGUACCGGGCCAGCCCCGCUCGUUUUCCCUCCCGGUGCCGGUGCCGGUGCCGGCCCGGCCCCUCGCCCUCCCGGGAAUGGCGCUGACACGGCGGUUCUGGGCAGCACGAGCAGCGUUAUUUCAACAACAAACGGGACUGCAGCGAGGGGUGGGCGCGGGGGGCGGCAGGGACGGAGCAGCCCCGGGCUGCGGCUGCCUCGGGCCCCGCGCGGCGAUUCCAGCCGGGAGCGGGCCGGGAGCGCAGCCAGAACCGGCUCUGCUCGUGCUCCGGGUCAGUCCACCUGGUCCCGCAGGAAAUGCAAGAAAUCCUUGAGCAGGUUACAGAAUUUCACCAGGCUGCGGUACGGCACCGAGGGGUUCCGGUUCGGGUUCCGGUUCGGGUUCCGGUUCGGGUUCCGGUUCGGGUUCCGGUUCGGGUUCCGGUUCGGGUUCCGGUUCGGGUUCCGGUUCGGGUUCCGGUUCGGGUUCCGGUUCGGGUUCCGGUUCGGGUUCCGGUUCGGGUUCCGGUUCGGGUUCCGGUUCGGGUUCCGGUUCGGGUUCCGGUUGCUGUGCUGGCACCAGCACCUCCACGGGCACAGCGGGGAUUUCUGGCUCCAGUGCCGGCUCUGGCACCAGCUCUGGCACCAGCUCUGGCACCAGCUCUGGCUCCGGCAUGGACACCGGCUCUGGUUGCUGCCCUGGCUCUGGAAUGUGCGUCGGCUCCGGGAUCGGCACCGUCGUCGACUCUGGCACUGCCACUGUGGUCGGCUCUGGCACUGUGGUCGGCUCUGGAGUCGGGGUCUCGGCAGAAGUCAAGGUGACCUCUGGCUCAGGAGACACGGCACAUUUCGUCUCUGGGGCUCGACUGGUUCCGGUUAUGUCAGCUGGGUUCAGGUCCGUCUGCAUCAGGACCCAGUUGUAGAAGUGUUGAGUGGAGGUGUAGAUCCCGGGGCGCCUGGCUCUGUCACAGCCUCUCCCCCAGCUGUACAUGCCCACGAGCCAGAAGUAGUCAGCUCUGUUGUCCUUGCAGACGAGGGGACUCCCGCUGUCCCCCUGUGCCAGGAGAGAGGGUUCAGGGGCUGUGGGGGGGCUGCUGCCAGCCCCAGAUCUGGCUCCUCUCCCCCAGCCCCAGAUCUGGCUCCUCUCUCCCACCCCCCCCCCCCCCCCCCCCCCCCCCCCCCCCCCCCCCCCCCCCCCCCCCCCCCCCCCCCCCCCCCCCCCCCCCCCCCCCCCCCCCCCC
rnacentral:lncRNA from 1 species